CUGUUUGUCCUUCAUCAGGACUAUGUAGGACUGAGAGGUGUGUUUGCAGUUGGUUGUGCUGUGCUGACUCAGCCAGUCUUUGCUCUCCUGGCAUUUUCAUUUGUUCCUCCGCUUGUCUCUACCAUCUGGCUGGGGAUCACUUACUCCUUUGCUGCUGUAAGUAUGUAGAAGCCACAGCAUUAACUGGUCACGUCAUAACUUUGGUUCCCUCCUCACUCCUUUCCAGACACUGGCAUUUUACACUAGCCAAAGGCUAAACAUUGGGCAUGUGUGCAUUCUGAGGUCUUUGGAUUACAAAGCCCAAAGGAUGUAGUCAGCAAACACCUCCGUAUAACCCAAAACAGCGUAAGGAACCCAUUGGCAUGGUGUGUGGGAAACAUUUCAUGACACCUUUUGAGCAAGAUGUAGAGUGUCCACCUAAGUCAGUUAUCCCAGCUCCUUAUUGAGAUGUUUGACUCUGAAUUGUGUGUGCUUUAAGUUGACUGCAGUAACUGGAGAGGAAAGAUGUAGGCACUCUCAUCAUCCAUUUACAGUAAUCUUCUGGUCUGAUAGUGGUCAUUGGUGGAUGAGUCAGAGGAAGAUGUAAACCCCUCCAUGAGGCAUCCAAAUGUGUAAUGGGGACAACUUCCUUUCUCCCUCAGUCGAUCAGCUAGUAGCCUGAAGCUGGGGCUUGAAUUGUUAGACUUUUCUGGAAAGUGUCUUGGCAGCAAACUUUUCCUACUUUAACAUCAGCCCAUUUCAUUACUCCUUACAACAGGCGAGUCUGUGGCCAUCCAUACCCCUUGUGGUUCCCUAGGCAACAUUAGGUACAGCUAUGGGGCUUACAACCUCUGUGCAGAUGACUGGAAUUGGUCUCUCCAAUCUGAUCGUUGGACACAUUCUGGGAACCAAGUCCAGGGUGGGACACUGAACAGAGCAACAAAGCAAUCAUCUGCAGAACAGGUCAGACAGCCUGUAGGCACAGCACUGCUCCUGGAUGAAGUGGGAGAUGAAGGGUUAAUCAACUAAAAAGCAUCAGGAUGCCCCAUUUUGGAUCCUACAGUGACAGAGUACAACAACAACUGGUUGCUGGCACAGUAUUGUCCCUCUGUAUUUCCAAUUGUAUGCUUUUAAGGAAUACAUUGUAAUAUUUUUAGCUUGUAUUUUUUUUAACAAGGGUAACCUUAUUCAGUCAUCCAUCAAAACAAGCUGGUAUGAAGGGAAUUAUGCAUAUGAAGGGAAAGUUGUUUUUGUUCCUUGUGUCUGGAACAAAUCAGCCAUAUGGUACAUUAAGCCAGUGAUGAAGCUUAUGUGGUACACUUUUUCAAAUGGACUAC
rnacentral:lncRNA from 1 species